UAAAGGUUGUGGAACCCUAAAAUCCCAGUAGAUAGAUGUUGGGAAGAAUGACGAUGUGGUCAAAAGUUUUCUCUCUCAGAGAGGGCUAUGCGAUGGCGGAACCCUCCUUUCGUGCAAAGGUGCAACUCGCUGUGAAAGCCGCAACUUGUGCAUCUUUUGCCAUCCUUUUUUUGGGGACGGCCCCCUUGCUCGUACGCGUCGUCAAAACGGAAAGGGAGGUCGCCAAGAGGUUUGAGGCAGCGCUCUUCCCUGAAGAAGAGGAAACAGAGUGAAGAGAAACAGAGGCCUUAAGCAUCCAAGUGAAUUUAUUUUGCUGCUUAUAUAGACUUUAAUUUAAGGGUGCCCUUAGUCUAAUUUCAAUAUGCGGGAGGUUGUUAUUAUUCACGUAUGUAUGUUAACUGUCUAAUGUAAUAUGCGAGUAGUUGUCAUUAUUCGCAUAUGUAUGUAACAAUGGUCUUAUUUUGAGACUCAAAAGUAUCAUUAUUUAUAUGCUACUGAAUGUUUAAGCAUUAGUCCCAUAUGGAGGUCCUGCACCUAUUUCUUUGCAAAAUGUUUUGUGUGAAUGGAAGUUCCUGCAAGUAUCACCAGAUCAAAAAAAAAAAAAAAAACAUAACCAUUCAUGUCACAAAAGAAAGAAAAAAGAGAGGUAAACUGGAAAAGCAAAUAAAAUGAGGAGUACAAGAAAAGAACAUUCUCAUUAUAUUAAGUAUGGUUGUUGAAAACCAAUCUGUAACUGAAUCAAUGGAGGUAGAAAAGAGAACAGGAGCACCACACUCUGCCAAUAUUAUCAUUUAUCAUGUUAUAGUCCAGACGAAAUAGUGGGAAGAGAGCCGGUACAAGUGUUUUGUUGCUCUGGUACACACAGAAGAGGUGUCUAUACACUUUUAAGGGAUUUUGUGCUUGAUCGGGGACUUGAACCUGACGGUUGUAUCUGACAUUCAAAUAUAUUUGGAAAAGACUAUCAAUCAUGGCUUACACAGAGGUUCAUAUCAGAGAUAUAAGGAACUUAAUCGAGAAGAACCAGCUGGCAUGGCCUGGGUGGACCUCAUUCUGGAUGUUAUGUUCUCGAAUCUAGAGGUGCUCUUGUUUCCCGGGAAGGGCUUAUACUUGGACAUUGCCUCGUUUUUUCUAUUCUGGUUGUGCAGUCAAGUAAGCAACAUGUUUAUGGGUUUGUUAUUACAGUAUAGCAUUGCUUUCUUACAACAUUUGAAGAGUUGACUCCACAGAUGGGAUGUUCCAUUUUUAUGCUUAAUGCUGCCUAAUUGAUGGCUACAGUGCUAGAUCUUGACCUUUUUUAGAUUACAUAUUGCAUAGAGGACUUUGGAUGCAUUUUGAUUGACUCGAUGUGUGUGUGUGUGUGUGUAUACAUACAUACAUACAUAUAUAUAUAUAUAUAUUUUUUGUGUUAAAGUAGCUUUCUGUUGUAUUGGCUAUAUAUAGCUUUUGUUGGAAUCGUAUGUAUUAUAUGCUUGUUUGAACAAAACCAAGGAUAGUGACGGUACUAAGCAAUGACUUUCCCAUGCUGUCUUUUGUUGAGACAGUUCAUGUUAAUAUCCUUUUGUUAUAGACUUAUAUCUUGUUUGCAGGUCCAAAGAAUGUAAAGGAUAAAUUUCUCGUUUAUAAAUAUAGUGCUUCUGAACUUGGUGGGACUAAUGACACCAUAAAAUGGCAGGGAUGUUCCAUCCUUUAUGUUGAAUGAUUUACUUCUGCUUCUCUUCUAGCAAACACGAUUUUAUGUGUAUCCAUUUAUUAAGUAGUAUGUUUUUGUCCAUUUGUGUUUGCUAUUCGUAUAUUUCACGUUUUUUGCAGAUUACAUUCAGUCUUCUUUUUUCUUUCGUGAUUGCUUUCGUACCAGACACUCUGAGUGCAGCACCUGAUAAAGCAUCUGUCCUGUCCCGGGUGCCUCCAUUCGACAUAAAUUUCAUGAAAUUGUAAAAAAAAAAAAAAAAAAAGAUUGUGGUUUUUCCUUCUUAUUGUUUAUGAAUUUUGUGUUUGGAAAUUGCUGCUCAUCAUUUGAGCUUCAGGUAAUGGCAGCCAGAAAUGAUCCAAAUCUUGAGGGCUUUGUCAUUACCAUAAGGCCAGCUUGGGAUUUACACUUGAUGUUAAUACAAGAUGCUCUUACCGGAAGGGAUUCUAUUUCAAGUGGUUCAUCGAGUGAUUUGGGUUAUCUACAGUUGUGUUUGGAAGUGUGUUUUUUUUUUCAAAGAACGUCUUCCAGUUUAUAUUAGAUAAAGUUCUUAAAACUGCAGCAUUUGAGGUUGGUUCUUAUGCUCUGUAUUCUGUUUUUUUAAUAGUUGCGUCAAAUGCUUAACACGUUGCUUCAUCUUCAUGUCACCUAAAUCCUAACCCCGGUGUAUGUUACCCAAGUAGCCUUACAUCUAGUCCCAUUGAAUAAGUCGGUUUUCUAUGAUUUGUUAAUUGGCUGUUUGAGGCCAGUUAGGGGAUUGCUACUUUUUCUAGUGGAUGGUGUCAAACGGGGUUAAUCUACGGUAUUGCAUUUCCUACAUUGUUUUCCUUUUGAAUAGAAACAACCCUUUAUUGUUUUUCACUGGCAUUCCUGUAAGGAUGGUGUAACAUGUGUAGAAUGAUGAAGAGGAUAUGUGCAACGCCUAUCUUCAAAAGUUGAUCACCUAUUCACCUGCUUCUUACUCACCCACUUGCCAGAGACAAGGUCAAAGAAUCAAAGAAUUAAAGGAGAGGGCUAUGAGCGUGCUUAGUCCAUACUGCCUGGUUGGGUCACAUGAGCUUUCGCAUGAUAGUAACCAAACCGCACAAGCCUCUGAAAGUGGUCCUCUACCAUUUGUCUCUCUUUUGGAGUUUGUGAGUGGAAUUUAUCGGAAGGAGCCAGAGCAAUUGUCUGGCAAUGACGCCUUGUGGACAUUUGUGAACUUUGCUGGAGAGUACGAUACAAAUUUUUAAACUCUUGUGGCUCUCUUGAAUAUGCUGAGUACCUUGGCUUCUAGUCAAGAAGGUGCUGCAACGGUUUUGGAGUUACUUCAGGGCAAAGUGUUUCGUUCUGUUGGGUGGAGCACCUUGUUUGAUAGCUUGUCAAUUUAUAAAGAGAAGUUUUAAACAGUCCCUUGCUGGUGCCAUAUUACUGGAACUCCCAGAGGAUGAUGCUUAUUUGAAUCUCCUUCAAAAGGUUGUGGAAAAUGGAAAUCCCCUGGAACGAAAUAUUUGGAAGGAUGUAGUUUUCCAGACACUGUUUGUGCUUAGCUGUUAGAAAUUUUGAGCAUUAAGCUUUGCCAAUUUUGUAAGGUCAGAAGAAGAACGACUUCAUGGACUUUCCCCGGCAAAAGUAACGAGCUAAUGUCAGUUAGAAGCCAUAUGUUCUAUGUCUAUCACCAUUUAAAUCACAUACUCUCUGGAGUGGUGUUAUUAUAUGCUUUUUUAUUUUUUAUUUUUUAUUUUUUUGAUCAUGAAGCAUCUGUUUUCUAAUUGAUUCGUUGAUUCUAUAGGAGGUAUACCACGAUGGUGGAAAUGUGCCGGGGAAUAGAGAUCAGUUAAUAACUAUGUUGCUUCCACUAGUGGAACAUGUGCUGAAUGUCUUCCUAAGCCAUUUUCAGAAUAGGUAUGUAGGUAUGGAUCUUAUAUAUCUUCUUCCUCCCCUUCCCCUGCCUUAUUUUUUCAAGAGAAGGGUUGCUGGUGGCAGUAUAUGUAGAGCCUUGUAAGAGAUUGUAUCAUAUUUAUGGAGAUAUUCCCAUAUGGACUUCAGUUCCGACCUCUAAUUACUUGUGAUUAGCAAAGGCUGCUGCCUGCUGGUACUAAUGAUUCAUGACUAUUUUGAUUUCAUUUUGUCCUUGAAGUAUUGUUGGUAUUGAUUGGCAACUUUCUUUGGUUAAUCUUACUUUUUCUUUGCAGUUCUUUGGCAUCUGAUCCCCCUGGUUCUUUGAAGACAAUUACAAAUGGUGCCAACUGUGGCCCGGUACAAGACAUAUCUUUGUUUAAAGCCGGCAGGAACAUGGGAAGUUGAUGGAACAGGAUCGAUAACUUAGCUUCUAAUUGACAAUAUCAGUCGGACAGCUCCCAAUAUCACCCAUUUGCCACUCAAAUUUGAUCUUGUAAUAAUAGAUGCUACUCAAGGAAGUGAACUUGGGAAAAUAAUAUUACUCUAUGUUUUGGAUGCAAUCAUCCGUGUAGAUCAUGAGAGAUAUUUCCUGGACCAACUUCAAAGCAGGGGGUUUCCUAUGAUCAUGUCCUAUGAACAUCAGCAGGCAUGGAAAUGUGUCAUUGGAGAUGCUGUUGAAGCUAGUAGCAGUCUUUGGUCCGGCGAUAUGAUCUACCAUUUCAGCACCUCCAGAGGUUGGAGUUAAUCUUCAGGCAGAGCAAAGAUAUUACCACACACUCUUCUUGUAAGUCGUGAAUGAAUGUCUCACUGUAAAACAAGUUGUGAUUCAAUAUUUAAUUUGAUUACAGGCUGGAAUGCUGCAACCAAUACUCUAUACACCUGCAAAAGAUCCAGAAAAUUCUCCCAGUCUUUGUAAGUGGAGGGCAAGUUGUAAAAUUAGUUGAAAAGUGGAGUGCCAAAAUUAGUCCGCAGCUUCUUCUAAAGGUGUCCUCAAUCCAUCAGCCUUAAGGAUGUCCAUGUGGAUGGAUUUUCACUUAUGAGCCCAUGUGAAUAUAAUGGCAAGCAAAAUCCUGCCCUUGUAUGAGAAUUUAUUCAGCAGAUGUAAGUUCCAAACACAAUUCUCCACGUGCACACAACCUAUUUUGGAGGUGGAAAGACCCUUUUGUCUAAUGAAAUCAUGCAUUUGUAAUAGUGACCAAAUCAUGCCCCUUUUUUUCUGCUGAAUGAAUGAUAUGCAGUAGAAUUUCCUAUUAAAGUUCUGAUAUUCUGAUCUUAUUCUGUGCACAUGUAAGUUUUGAAGGUGGAAUGACCUUAAGGAAAUAUUUGUUGCUAUUCCUUUUCAAUUAGAUGGUACAGAUAGUAGAUAUUCGUUUAUUGAACAUAUCGGGUCAUCUCUGCAUACUUAUAUCACUUUCAUUCGGACAUAAUUUCUUAUCUAGUUGAAAAUAUAGUAAUCGACGCUCAGAAAGUCUAUCCUGUUAUUUUGUUUGUAGGAAGGGGUCCGUGCUGGCAAGAUGUGCUCUAGAAUUGAAUCUAAUUCUUCAAGAGUCAUAACAGAUGCUGUCUUUCAGAACUGCAAAAAGGUGGCUUCGCUGAUAUAAUGUGUAACAGAAUUGCAUACACACAUUCAUCCCAAGUUACAGUUCCUAUCACAAUUGUCUCAAUGCUCUCUACCUCCUCCAGUCAUACGCCAAGUCACUUAAUAUUUGUAGACUAGAGCUCAGGAAUUUUGUGAGGCAAAGAUUAAAGCAAUAUCAGUCUUGCCUGAGGAGCUUGAAGACAGAAGUAGUCGUCCCUUCCUAGAGUCAUCUUCGGCAUUACUUAAUAUCGGUAUACUAGAGCUCUAGAAUUUUGUGAGGACAGUCUUGCCUGAGGAGCUUCAAGACAGGAGAAGUGAUCGCUGCAGUAUUCGCCUUCAGGCAUUGUGCAAAUUCUCCUGAUUUUGAUGGUCUCAUGUGGGAGAUUGCAGUUUGUGUCUUCAUUACCGUGUAUCUAAUUCUUAUAUAUGUAUGUACAUUGCAAUGUAGAUCCUUUAAUGAUAUAAAUAUAAAAAUUAAAAAAUA